rnacentral:misc_RNA from 1 species
GCUCCGUUGGUGAACCAGCGGAGGGAUCAUUACAGGACUCGCAAGACUCCUUCACCCUGUGAACCUCACUACAAGCACGUUGCUUCGGCGGGUGUCCCGGCGGGGGUUUUCCCUCGCCGGGGCGCACAGCCCGCCGGCAGCCUACCAUACUCUGUCUCUUUGCGUUGGCAUCUCGAGAAAAAACAAACAAGUUAAAACUUUCAACAACGGAUCUCUUGGUUCUG